rnacentral:rRNA from 1 species
UACGGAGGGGGCGAGCGUUAUUCGGAAUUAUUGGGCGUAAAGGGCGCGUAGGCGGCCCGGUAAGUCAAAGGUGAAAUCCCUCGGCUCAACUGAGGAACUGCCUUUGAAACUGCUGGGCUUGAGUCCGGGAGGGGGUAGCGGAAUUCCCAGUGUAGCGGUGAAAUGCGUAGAUAUUGGGAGGAACACCUGUGGCGAAAGCGGCGCACUGGACCACAACUGACGCUGAGGCGCGAAAGCUAGGGAAGCAAACAGG